ensembl:rRNA 5S_rRNA 5S ribosomal RNA
GCUUACGGCCAUACCACGCUGAGCACGCCCGAUCUCGGAAGCUAAGCAGUGUCGGGCCUGGUUAGUACUUGGAUGGGAGACCGCCUGGGAAUACCAGGUGCUGUAAGCU